GAUGAACGCUGGCGGCGUGCUUAACACAUGCAAGUCGAACGAACCUUCGGGUUAGUGGCGGACGGGUGAGUAACGCGUGAGAAUCUGCCCUCAGGAGGGGGAUAACGGCUGGAAACGGCCGCUAAUACCCCAUAUGCCGCGAGGUGAAACGAAUUUCGCCUGAGGAUGAGCUCGCGUCUGAUUAGCUAGUUGGUGGGGUAAAGGCCUACCAAGGCAUCGAUCAGUAGCUGGUCUGAGAGGAUGAUCAGCCACACUGGGACUGAGACACGGCCCAGACUCCUACGGGAGGCAGCAGUGGGGAAUUUUCCGCAAUGGGCGCAAGCCUGACGGAGCAACGCCGCGUGAGGGAUGAAGGCCUCUGGGCUGUAAACCUCUUUUAUCAAGGAAGAAGAUCUGACGGUACUUGAUGAAUAAGCCACGGCUAAUUCCGUGCCAGCCGCCGCGGUAA
rnacentral:rRNA from 1 species